rnacentral:tRNA from 1 species
GGGGUGUGGCUCGGUGGUACAGCGCUUGCCUAUCGUUCAUGAGGCCCUGGGUUCCAACCCCAGCACUGCCA